CUUCCCCAGACCAUGGGGCCAGGGCUAAGCCCACAGGAAGGCUGGGCCAUGUCCCCCGCACCCAGGUCCCUGAGGGGCUGAGGCCUGGGCCCCCCAAGGCAGAGGCAAAGGGGCCACAGCUGGGUCCCUGCCUCCCUGGGACGGAGCCAGCAGGCUGGGGCAGGAGUCAGCUGGAGCUCUAAGCCACCCCGGUCCUCUUGAGCGCUGUGGCUGCGUCCUAGGCACUGGCGUCCCAACUGGAGAGAAUCUGGAGUCAGCGCAGGCCUCAGUCCUCCAUCCUCACUCCCAGCUGGCCACCAGCUCAAGAGAAGCUUCUGUAACCCCAAGAACUGUCGCCUGCCCAGAGCAGGUGAGGAAAUGCUCUGAGUCAGGGCGUUUCAGGCUAGCUGUGAGGGCACAAAGGAAGCUGUUUCUCCGAGCUUGGCACUGAGGAGUCAUAGCCAUGCUGGUAAAUGAGAGCCCAGGGCAGCAGUGGCAGGAGUUGAGUGUUUCCAAACCAUACUGCCGCAUGCCACACAACUAUGGACAAGCUGUGUCCACCUUCUGGGCCUCAAUUUCCCAUCUCUGAAGUCAAGCUGCUGUCAGCAAGGCGGGAGAGAACAGGGUGGGAACAUACCCCGACUUUGUGCCCACCCCAGCCGCAGAGUCCUCCAGAGGAACAGGGUCCACAGGCCAGAGGGAGAGAUAGGAAGAGAUUCAGUACAGAGGCUGAGAAGCCCUGUGACCUGCCCCCGGCCAGCUAGAGACCCAGAGAGCAGAGGGUCUGAAGACCCGGGCAAGUGAUGGGGACUUCUGGCUUGAGGUCGAAGUGCAGGUCCCAGAGUCCAAAGUGGAAGAGCCAGGGGCAGGGAAAUGAAUGUCCCAGUUCAAGAAGACAGACGGCCUCUCGCCCGCCUUCUGCGGUCUGCUCCUUCGACAGAUUAGACAACGCGGCUGUCCUGAAGUCUGCCUACUGUCCAUAGUGCACCUGGGGCGGCCCGCUCCUCUCCACUGACUGGAACCUGGCGGCACCUCAGGGUCACCCUCCCUGACCUUUGUCCCGAGCCUACUAUCCGGAUGCAGAGAUUAGAAAGACAAAGACCCUUGGGAAAUUCCACAGUCCCAAACCGGGACACUUGCGCAGGGCCUCGCAGCAUGACCUGCUGCGACCUCGCUCCACGUGGAGCUCAAAGGUUCGCGCUGUGUGGGGCAUCUCCGUCCUCCAGUUGCACCAGAGUGAACUACGGGAGCGGACACGCGCAGUAGAUGGCCGACGCGACCCGGCACCUGUCAAUCACGCCGUCGCUCCCACCCAGUGGGCGGUGCCCAGACCUGCGGGACGUCUUCAGUUCCUCAGCGCUGGCGCUUUCCUUUCCAUCGGCAGCGCCUCCGCCUGAUUAAACUUCCUUACGCGUUCCUGCUUUUUCCCACCCCCGUCACGGGGGACCCUGGGGAUGGGGCGCCCCAGUGUAUGCACACCCCGAGGCUCUGAGGGGCCUGGGGAAGGCGCCUGGUCAGGCUGAGGUUCAGGCGCAGACUGCCAGGCGCCAGGGCAGCCGCUUCCCCAGGGCAGGGCCGGCGACUGGAGGGGUGGACGUGUGGCAGAGGCGCACAGGGCCUGUCUCGGGGCCCAGCGGCCACACACGCAGGAGCCAGCGGUUUGGCGCCCCGAGAGCUCGGCAAGGGUGCAGCAGAAGCCAAGUCCCAGCUAAGCAACAACCCUGGGGAGGCAGACUUGGGAAACGCCGGGAAUGGGCCAGUAGUAGUCCAGGCCCCGCUUCCAGCCAUGCCUGGGGUGUGGGGCAGGGCAGGGCCACCUUCGCCAUCCUCAGGGCCAGGGCAAGGGGACAGGGUGGCCUGUGGAGGAGGUGGUGCUGUGACCAGGGGAGACCUGGCUAGGCCUUCUCAGCUCCCUCCCCACGCCAACCCCUAACUUUCCUCCUGAAACCCUGUUUCCCAAGAUGUCCACAGUCCCCUGUGUGGGCUUAGCUGGCUGCAGCUUCACUCUGCUCCUCAACAGGGAGUGUCCUUAGCCAGGCGUGGUGGUGCACACCUGUAUCCCCAGCACUCAGGAGGCUGAGGCAGGAGGAUCAUCUCAAGUCAAUGCCAGCCUAGGCUACAUAAAGAAAGCCUGUCUCAAAAAAAAAAAAGAAAAGGGAAUGUCUUCCCCUUCUUGAGUCUGGACAUGCUUGGGGAGCAGAGAUGGGCAGAGCUGUGUGGCUCUUCAGCCUCUCAGCAGACAGACAUCAGGUGGACAGAGUGUGGGGACCUGGGGAGGUGCCCCACCUGCCACCAGGCUCUGUGGCUUCCACCCCUGAAUUCCAGAGCCUUAUCUCACGGUCAUCCAUCCUAGAUAACCAUCUCCAUGCAGGCCUGAACUAUGUCUUGGAUUCUUUGCUUUGGGAUUUCACUUUUCCACAUUUUAUGACCUUGAAUCGCUGCUCACUGCUUCUGCAGAAGUGUGGCUGCAAAUGGCCAAGCAGUCUGCGAGCCUUUCUUGAGCCAAAGACCUUAAACAUCUGGAACAGUACAGUUAAAUAUGCUGGGGAUCGAACUCAGGACCUUGCUCUUGCCAGGCAGGUGCAGCACCACUGAGCUACACCCUGGCCCAAAAAUAUAAAAAUAUUACCAACUUGCUUUGGCUGGAGUUUUC
rnacentral:lncRNA from 1 species